rnacentral:rRNA from 1 species
UACGUAGGGCGCGAGCGUUGUCCGGAAUUAUUGGGCGUAAAGAGCUCGUAGGUGGCUUGUUGCGUCUGCCGUGAAAGCCCGUGGCUUAACUACGGGUCUGCGGUGGAUACGGGCAGGCUAGAGGCUGGUAGGGGCAAGCGGAAUUCCUGGUGUAGCGGUGAAAUGCGCAGAUAUCAGGAGGAACACCGGUGGCGAAGGCGGCUUGCUGGGCCAGUUCUGACGCUGAGGAGCGAAAGCGUGGGGGAGCGAACAGG